CGGACAGUGUCUGGUGGGUAGUUUGACUGGGGCGGUCUCCUCCUAAAGAGUAACGGAGGAGCACGAAGGUUGGCUAAUCCUGGUCGGACAUCAGGAGGUUAGUGCAAUGGCAUAAGCCAGCUUGACUGCGAGCGUGACGGCGCGAGCAGGUGCGAAAGCAGGUCAUAGUGAUCCGGUGGUUCUGAAUGGAAGGGCCAUCGCUCAACGGAUAAAAGGUACUCCGGGGAUAACAGGCUGAUACCGCCCAAGAGUUCAUAUCGACGGCGGUGUUUGGCACCUCGAUGUCGGCUCAUCACAUCCUGGGGCUGAAGUAGGUCCCAAGGGUAUGGCUGUUCGCCAUUUAAAGUGGUACGCGAGCUGGGUUUAGAACGUCGUGAGACAGUUCGGUCCCUAUCUGCCGUGGGCGCUGGAGAACUGAGGGGGGCUGCUCCUAGUACGAGAGGACCGGAGUGGACGCAUCACUGGUGUUCGGGUUGUCAUGCCAAUGGCACUGCCCGGUAGCUAAAUGCGGAAGAGAUAAGUGCUGAAAGCAUCUAAGCACGAAACUUGCCCCGAGAUGAGU
rnacentral:rRNA from 1 species